UAUCAAUAAGCGGAGGAAAAGAAACCAACAGGGAUUGCCUUAGUAACUGCGAGUGAAGCGGCAAAAGCUCAAAUUUGAAAUCUGGCGCCUUCGGCGUCCGAGUUGUAAUUUGGAGGGAUAUCUUCGGGGCUGGCGCCGUCCUAAGUUCCUUGNAACAGGACGUCACAGAGGGUGAGAAUCCCGUGCCUGGGCGGAUGUCCAGCUCCAUGUGAAGUGUCUCCGACGAGUCGAGUUGUUUGGGAAUGCAGCUCAAAAUGGGUGGUAAAUUUCAUCUAAAGCUAAAUAUUGGCGAGAGACCGAUAGCGCACAAGUAGAGUGAUCGAAAGAUGAAAAGCACUUUGAAAAGAGAGUUAAAAAGUACGUGAAAUUGUUGAAAGGGAAGCGCUUGCGACCAGACUCGACCUUUGGCGAUCAGCCGGGCUUCGGCUCGGUGCCAUCGCCUUUGGUUGGGCCAGCAUCGGUUCCGACGGUGGGAUAAAAGGCGGAGGAAUGUGGCCUCUCUCGGGGGGUGUUAUAGCCUCCGUCACAAUGCCGCCAGUCGGGACCGAGGACCGCGCUUCGGCUAGGAUGCUGGCGUAAUGGUCUUAAGCGACCCGUCUUGAAACACGGACCAAGGAGUCUAACAUCUAUGCGAGUGUUCGGGUGGAAAACCCUUGCGCGUAAUGAAAGUGAACGGAGGUGGGAACCCUUCGGGGUGCACCAUCGACCGGUCCUGACGUCUUCUGAAGGAUCUGAGUAAGAGCAUAGCUGUUGGGACCCGAAAGAUGGUGAACUAUGCCUGAAUAGGGUGAAGCCAGAGGAAACUCUGGUGGAGGCUCGCAGCGGUUCUGACGUGCAAAUCGAUCGUCAAAUUUGGGUAUAGGGGCGAAAGACUAAUCGAACCAUCUAGUAGCUGGUUCCUGCCGAA
rnacentral:rRNA from 1 species